AACGAACGCUGGCGGCAUGCCUAACACAUGCAAGUCGAACGAAACCUUCGGGUCUAGUGGCGCACGGGUGCGUAACGCGUGGGAACCUGCCCUUAGGUUCGGAAUAACUCCCCGAAAGGUGUGCUAAUACCGGAUAAUGUCUUCGGACCAAAGAUUUAUCGCCUGUGGAUGGGCCCGCGUUGGAUUAGCUAGUUGGUAGGGUAAAAGCCUACCAAGGCGACGAUCCAUAGCUGGUCUGAGAGGAUGAUCAGCCACACUGGGACUGAGACACGGCCCAGACUCCUACGGGAGGCAGCAGUGGGGAAUAUUGGACAAUGGGCGAAAGCCUGAUCCAGCAAUGCCGCGUGAGUGAUGAAGGCCUUAGGGUUGUAAAGCUCUUUUACCCGGGAUGAUAAUGACAGUACCGGGAGAAUAAGCUCCGGCUAACUCCGUG
rnacentral:rRNA from 1 species